CAGGUUUCAAAUUUGCAAUCCAUGCUCCGGACGAAAUUGCUGUAACGCUAGAUCGAUUCUACCGCUUGAAUAAUAAAAGUGCUGCUAUAAUAUCUGUUGGUGUAAAUGUGUUCAAGGCAUCAGAAACACUUCGAUCCAUAAAUCCAAUCAAAAGGAAUUGUUUCUUCAACAAUGAACGCCAUCUCCAGUUUUUUAAACAUUACAAUCAAUUCAACUGUAUUAUCGAAUGUGUUGCCAACUAUACACUGAUGAAGUGCGGAUGCGUGAAAUUUUCUAUGCCCCGGCUGAGCAAUACGAAAAUAUGUGACGCUAGCAAAAUAGACUGUUAUAGCACUUCUCUAAAUGCAUUGUUUGAUCUUGUUAUAAAGGCACAGUUGGCCGAAAAGAAUGCUCAUUUUUGCCACUGUUUGCCAUCGUGCAACUCCAUCAGUUAUCAGGUGGGGUAUACGCAAAUCCCCGUAAACGACUUUCCCAUCAAGCUAGAAUUCUUGCGUGACAAUGUAGAUCCAGGAUUGAUGUUCGUUUCGCUGAGAGACCGGCACUACAUUCCGAUGUGGCGAAGAGAACUAGUAGGAGUCAAUCAAGCCAUCGCACAACUCGGAGGAUUGUUUGCACUUUUGAUGGGAUCCAGCAUGUUGAGUUUGGCGGAAAUUUUGUACUAUUGUUGUGUUCGUAGAUUGAGGAGGGAUCUAUCAGUACAAGAGAAGAAAACUCGUGCAAACCAUCUACGGAGUCGUGGUCAUAGAAUUCAUCUCCGGGUUAAGCCAUAUGCUAAGCAUCAGCGAUAUUUUCAACAGUUCUAGGAUACUCGAUCAGGAAUUAAUAUGGAAUUAAUGCCAUAUUAUGUGAAAUUUGAUACACGUUUAGCUCAUAUUAAAGGAUUAAUUAUAAAACAUAGA